AGGGAAAGCACCUGAAAUAUACCACCCAGUGUCAGUGGAAAAAGCACAGGCCAGUCAAUGAUGUGCAAAGGAGACGGCUUAUCUUAAAUAUGAAAAUGAUUUUGAUCUACAUGAUCAUCGCAGCUCCAGCAGUGACCGCUGUGGCACAAGGGUCUUUGGAAUGCAAUCUAACUGAACCGGGAGUCCAGAAGUGUUUUGGAGUUUUAGGAAAACCAUUCAGUUUUUACCUACCCACUGACCCGCAUACAAAGACAAGACUGGAAAAG